rnacentral:rRNA from 1 species
CUACGGGUUGCACCAGUGGGGAAUAUUGCACAAUGGAGGAAACUCUGAUGCAGCAACGCCGCGUGGAGGAUGACACUUUUCGGAGCGUAAACUCCUUUUAUGUAGGAAGAAGAUGACGGUACUAUAUGAAUAAGCGCCGGCUAACUCCGUGCCAGCAGCCGCGGUAAUACGGAGGGCGCAAGCGUUACUCGGAAUCACUGGGCGUAAAGAGCGUGUAGGCGGAUUAAAAAGUCAGAAGUGAAAUCCUAUAGCUUAACUAUAGAACUGCUUCUGAAACUCUUAAUCUAGAAUAUGGGAGAGGUAGAUGGAAUUUCUGGUGUAGGGGUAAAAUCCGUAGAGAUCAGAAGGAAUACCGAUUGCGAAGGCGAUCUACUAGAACAUUAUUGACGCUGAGACGCGAAAGCGUGGGGAGCAAACAGGAUUAGAUACCCGAGUAGUC